UACGUAGGGCGCAAGCGUUGUCCGGAAUUAUUGGGCGUAAAGAGCUCGUAGGCGGUUUGUCACGUCGGCUGUGAAAACCCGAGGCUCAACCUCGGGCCUGCAGUCGAUACGGGCAGACUAGAGUGCUGUAGGGGAGACUGGAAUUCCUGGUGUAGCGGUGAAAUGCGCAGAUAUCAGGAGGAACACCGGUGGCGAAGGCGGGUCUCUGGGCAGUAACUGACGCUGAGGAGCGAAAGCGUGGGGAGCAAACAGG
rnacentral:rRNA from 2 species